rnacentral:tRNA from 1 species
GCUCUGGUGGCACAAAGGUUAAGUGCUCGGCUGCUAACAAAAUGUUGGUGGUUCAAAUCCACCCAGCAGCU